GCCUGAGUGGCUCAGUGGUUGAGUGUCUGCCUUCAGCUCAGGUCCUGAUACCAGGGUCCUGGGAUUGAGUCCCACAUCAGGCU
rnacentral:tRNA from 1 species